UAAGGAAUAUUGGUCAAUGGACGCAAGUCUGAACCAGCCAUGCCGCGUGAAGGAUGAAGGUCCUCUGGAUUGUAAACUUCUUUUAUCUGGGACGAAAACGGGAUUUUUAUCUCAAUUGACGGUACCGGAGGAAUAAGCACCGGCUAACUCCGUGCCAGCAGCCGCGGUAAUACGGAGGGUGCGAGCGUUAUCCGGAUUUACUGGGUUUAAAGGGUGCGUAGGUGGGCUUAUAAGUCAGUGGUGAAAUCUCCGAGCUUAACUUGGAAACUGCCGUUGAUACUAUAGGUCUUGAAUUAUCUGGAGGUAAGCGGAAUAUGUCAUGUAGCGGUGAAAUGCUUAGAUAUGACAUAGAACACCAAUUGCGAAGGCAGCUUACUACAUAUAAAUUGACGCUGAGGCACGAAAGCGUGGGGAUCAAAC
rnacentral:rRNA from 1 species